rnacentral:rRNA from 1 species
GAUGAACGCUGGCGGUGUGCCUAAUACAUGCAAGUCGAACGGGGUGCAGCAAUGUACCUAGUGGCGACCGGGUGCGUAACACGUAGCUGACCUGCCCCUCAGCGGGGGACAACAGUUCGAAAGGACUGCUAAUACCGCAUGAGCUUGAGAUGUUUAGAAAGUCUCAAGGAAACUUACGGGGCUGAGGGAGGGAGCUGCGGCCCAUCAGGUAGUUGGUGAGGUAACGGCUCACCAAGCCAACGACGGGUCGGGGACCUGAGAGGGUGGUCCCCCAUACUGGAACUGACAAACGGUCCAGACUCCUACGGGAGGCAGCAGUAAGGGAUAUUGCGCAAUGGGCGAAAGCCUGACGCAGCAACACCGCGU